GUCAGGAUUUUUUUUUAUACAUGAAAGCAAGCUAGCAAGGGCUGCAGUGCAUCGGUGCACGAUUUAUAAUGUUUUCCUAAAUAUCUUUGAGUGUAGCGAACAUCUCACAGUUAUGAGUUGAAUUGCAAUUUAUUUAACCUAGCUGGUUCUGUCAUUUCAGAAGAUACGUUAAGGCGGGGGCAUGCGCAGCUGGAGGUGGCAGUUCUCCAGGAUGAUGCGUCUGUGCCUGCGCUGGUGCCGGCUGUGCCCUAAGCGAGGGGGUCGACCCAGCAAGCCCCAGAGGAAGCUACGAGAGCUGUGGAGCUACUGGAAGCUGCUGCUCAACUCCCUCUACUUCAACAGCCUUACCAACUCUGACACCUGCCUGGACUGUGUCUUUGAGCCCGUCUACUGGAUAGUCGACAAUGUGACUCGCUGGUUUGGGGUUGUGUUUGUGUGCCUGGUGAUUGCCCUCACCAGCUCUGUGCUGGUCAUUGUCUACCUGUGCCUGCUGCCUGUCAUCCUCAACACCUACCCACUGCAGUGGAUCGUCUGGCACCUCACUUACGGCCACUGGGUCCUCAUGAUGGUCCUCUUCCACUACUAUAAGGCCACCACCACCUCCCCUGGACACCCACCACAGGUUAAAAGUGAUACACCGUCAGUGUCCAUCUGUAAAAAAUGCAUUGUGCCCAAACCAGCCAGAACUCACCACUGCAGCAUCUGCAAUACGUAAGUUAAAGACUCUGAUAAUCACCAUGCCUGGCUCAACAACUGUGUGGGCCACUUCAACCACCGCUACUUUUUCUCCUUCUGCCUGUACAUGACCAUGGGCUGCAUGUACUGCAGCGUCAGCUGCAAAGACAUGUUCAUAGAGGCCUACAACGCUGUCGAGAGCUACUAUCAGACGCCACCACCACUGUUUUCCUUCAGAGAAAAGAUGGUCCACAAGAGUGUCAUUUUCAUUUGGGUGCUAACAAGUUCGGUGGCAGUAGCUCUGGGAGGUCUGACACUGUGGCAUGCUAUCCUCAUCACCCUAGGAGAGACCAGCGUGGAGAGACACAUCAACAAGAAAGAGGUCAGACGCUUAAAGGAGAAAGGAAAGGUGUUCCGAAAUCCAUACCAUUAUGGGAAAAUAAACAAUUGGAAAGUGUUGUUUGGUGUGGAGGAGACCAGUCACUGGUUGACCAGAGUCCUCCUGCCGUCUAGUCACACUCCCCAUGAAGACGGACUGGUAUGGGAAUUCCCUCAGGCUCUCACCAGAAGAGACCCAAUGACCAUCUAACCUCACUACUCACUGCUGCUGGCCAGUUUCUCAUCUCUACACUAUGGCCCAGAAUCACUACUGGCACCUGGAUGGUGGAGUGAACAGAGGACUUCUCUUAGCCUCUGAGGAGUAGACCGUUUGGGCUUGAUAGUGACCCGUAUGUCAGGGGACCUUAAUCUGCACUCCAGUCACUGUCAUGUGAACUGUCUUUUUUCAACUGUCGUCCUGUCUUGUGAACUGAUUGUUUUUUUUUGUACUGGUAGGUAUGUUGUCCAAAGAUGACAAUGUGUACUUUUUAAUUGUACUGAAGUCACAGAAAAAGCAGUUAGGACUUUUUCAGUGCCAACAAAGAGCUUUUCACCAAUGACUAGGUUAGAGCUAGAUAACCACACACCUUGGCCAUUCUCCAUCUAGGGGUGAGUAGUCUGGAGACUUUUUGACAGACUUCCAUAAACUAUUCAUAUUAUCGUUCAGGCUCUAGUUAGAACAUGGUGCUCAUAUUACUGAGCAGUGCCCCAGUCAAUAUCCAGGGGUGAUGUAAUACUAUGGUCGACCAUGUAAAAAACGACACAUUUCACUGAACCUAUCCGGUGUAUGUGACAAAACAUCUACAUAAGCGUAUUAGGAAUUUUCAAAAGAUUCGUAACGUGCCGUGUGAAGUUAAAUCUUUAACAUUUGUUUAUCAGGCACUAAUGCAAAGUACAGUUUUACUGGAAUAUGACAUUUCUAACAUUGUCCAUUAAUUAUCUCGCCCCCAUCACAUAUGGUAAUGGAUUUCCCCAGUAGCCAUCUUUUAAGAACACUUAACAUGGUUAAAAGCGCUUGAAUGCAUCAGACUUCCUCCCAACCGGUCUUGUGUUUGGCCACCAUUUAGAUUUAUAAUGGUCAGGGGAUAUUUCUAUAAUUAGCCAGCCUGUUACAGUAGGAAGGGGCUACCUGGUUGCCAUAGUGAAAAAAUGUCCUCACUGCUGUGACAUGACUAAUAGGAGCUGUGCUCCAUUAUUGUACACCGCAUGUCUGUGUCAUUUGCUUUUGAUAUUAGCUUGUAUUGGUUAAUAUAAAAUAUUGUUUUUGGAGACUGUGAA